UCGAACGGUGAAGCCCAGCUUGCUGGGUGGAUCAGUGGCGAACGGGUGAGUAACACGUGAGUAACCUGCCCCUGACUCUGGGAUAAGCCUUGGAAACGAGGUCUAAUACCGGAUACGUGACGCUCAGGCAUCUGAUGCGUCUGGAAAGAUUUAUCGGUCAGGGAUGGACUCGCGGCCUAUCAGCUUGUUGGUGGGGUAACGGCCUACCAAGGCGACGACGGGUAGCCGGCCUGAGAGGGCGACCGGCCACACUGGGACUGAGACACGGCCCAGACUCCUACGGGAGGCAGCAGUGGGGAAUAUUGCACAAUGGGCGCAAGCCUGAUGCAGCGACGCCGCGUGAGGGAUGAAGGCCUUCGGGUUGUAAACCUCUUUCAGCAGGGAAGAAGCGCAAGUGACGGUACCUGCAGAAGAAGCGCCGGCUAACUACGUGCCAGCAGCCGCGGUAAUACGUAGGGCGCAAGCGUUGUCCGGAAUUAUUGGGCGUAAAGAGCUCGUAGGCGGUUUGUCGCGUCUGCUGUGAAAACUCGAGGCUCAACCUCGGGCUUGCAGUGGGUACGGGCAGACUAGAGUGCGGUAGGGGAGACUGGAAUUCCUGGUGUAGCGGUGGAAUGCGCAGAUAUCAGGAGGAACACCGAUGGCGAAGGCAGGUCUCUGGGCCGCAACUGACGCUGAGGAGCGAAAGCAUGGGGAGCGAACAGGAUUAGAUACCCUGGUAGUCCAUGCCGUAAACGUUGGGCACUAGGUGUGGGGCUCAUUCCACGAGUUCCGUGCCGCAGCAAACGCAUUAAGUGCCCCGCCUGGGGAGUACGGCCGCAAGGCUAAAACUCAAAGAAAUUGACGGGGGCCCGCACAAGCGGCGGAGCAUGCGGAUUAAU
rnacentral:rRNA from 1 species